CAGAGCCUUCGGAUGGACAUCUGGGAGGUUCAAAUCCAGGAGACGUCAGUCCCUGACAUGCAGAGCAGCAACAAAUUGAGAUUCAAAUCUAGGAGGAGUCAGUUCCAAUGCCAUGGAGGAGAGGAGGAGACAAAUCCUGUGAACUGGAGAAGCGAGUUCCUAAAGAGUGUAAGAUAUGAAAUAAUAAGAAAUGGAGGAGUGAGGAGGAGCAGGAGGAGGAGGAAGAAGAAAACAAAAAGAAAAUGAAAAGUAAAACAGCAAGAGUGGCAAGACUGGUAGCUUAACAACAGCUCAUCCAAACACAGCAUUGGGUAUGCUUCAAACUUGGAAAUCUUAUUCAAACCUUUAAAAUCAAUACAGAACCGAAACGUCGGGUUUUGAGACAAGAUUCAGUGAUAGCAAUUCUGCUUUCUACGUGUCAGUUAAAUCAUCCCCAGUGAAGACUGGGGACACUGCGGAUGUGACUAGGACUUCGUGGUGGUUGUGCCAUUCCCUUAAAAGGUUAAUAUGCAAAAUCUGUACCAGUUUCCGUCACCCGGGAAUCCUGACUUUAUAAUUCACUAGAGACAUAUGCUAUUCUAUUAAUUCCGGCCCCUGCCAUUCAGCCUGAAAUUUAUGUUGAUCGGACGGAAUCAACAUCAGUAAAUGAUCCCCUGCUUAAACUUGCAGAGUUUACUCAUCUUGUCAUAAUUAUGUUUUUGCACCUCCCGCUCGUGCUGCUGAUAUUCCACCACAAUAGGGGACAAUCUGGAAACCUGUUCUUGCAGCAAAAUGACUCAAUUGACAAAUCUCCUGCAGUGGGGUGUCUCGUGAGUUCCCAUCCUUUCUUCCUGAAAAAUGUCUAACACCCUGUGGCCAAAUAAUAUUUCAAAAGGACUCAGGCCAGUAGAUGCUUGUGGGGACUCUCGGACAGCAAACAGGAGGAAAGGAACUACUGUAUCCCUGGAGGUUGGGUCGUUAUGGGCCACCUACCGAAUCGUCUGUUUCACGGUUUUAUUAAAUCAUUCAGUCAGGCCAGUCGUCUGCAGAUGAUAAACCGUGGAGUGUAACUACGUAAUUACAAAACUUUUGCAUAAUUGUUUCAUGACGCAAGACAUUGAGCGAUACCAAUAAGCACAAACAUUUCUGAGGAGAUCUUUUGCAAUAGUCCAGGUGUCCGCCCGCCAUAGUACUGCCACUUCUGGGUAUCUUGUGCUGUAGUCAACUAACAUGAGCAUAUGCUGAAAGCCACUUCUACUCUUGGGAAGCGGGACAAUAUCUAAUCCCACCUUCUCAAAAUUCUCUAAAAUAGGCAUCGGUACAAAGGGGUGCCCUGGUGAGUCUGUGAGCGGAAACUAUUUGACAUUUUUUUGCUAAUAAUCUCCCUCUCUCUCUCUCGGUCUCUGUCUCUGUUUUAGGCCACACCUGGUCUGAGCAGCAGUGAGUGGAAGCACAGAGCACCGGCAUCUCACACAGGCACAUAGCCCUUCACAAACACACGAGUAAGUUCAACUAGAGUAAAGCUGGCACCCAACUGGUAAAAAUAACCAACAGUGAGAAAUCCAAGUUGAUCGCCUAGUGGGUGGUGGAAACUUAAAGCCGGUCUCUUAGUGAUUCACAUUAACGUGGAAAGCACCAAAGUUAUUGCAAAAACAGAGAAGAUGAUAUAAGCGUUAAAUGUAAGUUCCAUCUGUUCUCUGCCCGGCGAGAGCACGUUUAUAUGUUGUGUGUCCUGGGUUUUCCAGCCAACAACAUAGACAGCUUUACCUGUCAAAAGUGUUUAGUUUAUUUAGAGUUGGUCAGGAAAAUACACAAAUUGGAGGACCGCGUUAGGAAUCUGUUAACAAAUAGGCACACCGAAAAUUGGAUUGGCUCAGAUUGUUUAGACAAUUCAGACUACUUAUGAUUUGGCUUCAGUCUCUCCAGGUUAGGGUUAGGAUUAGGAUAGGGGAUAUGGCCAGGACUGGCAUGCAUUGGCACACAUUUCCAAAAUUCAAAAUCCUUAAAGCGACACACACCCUCUACCUUCAAGUUGUUAAAAAAUACCAUAAAAUCCUGUUAAAAUGUCCUAAAAUAUUCAUAAAUUAAAUAACAUAUAUCCUUAUAAAAUUUCAUUCAUUGUAUAUUUUAAAAUCCGACUCAAAAGGAGGGUUUAAAAAAAAACCCUAUCAGUCAAAUAUAA